UACGAAGGGGGCUAGCGUUGUUCGGAAUUACUGGGCGUAAAGCGCACGUAGGCGGAUAUUUAAGUCAGGGGUGAAAUCCCGGGGCUCAACCCCCGGAACGGCCUUUGAUACUGGAUGUCUUGAGUCCGGAAGAGGUGAGUGGAAUUGCGAGUGUAGAGGUGAAAUUCGUAGAUAUUCGCAGGAACACCAGUGGCGAAGGCGGCUCACUGGUCCGGAACUGACGCUGAGGUGCGAAAGCGUGGGGAGCAAACAGG
rnacentral:rRNA from 1 species